rnacentral:lncRNA from 1 species
GAGAGAGGUCCAAGUCCAAAAUUUUUCUUUUAUUUAUUUAUUUAUUUAUUAUUUUUUUAUUUAAUUAAUUUAUUUUUUUUAUUAUUAUUAUUUUUAUUAUUAUUUUUUUUUUUCGUUUUUUUUUAGUUUUUUUUUUAAAUAAAGUUUCUUGGAUCUGAUUCUGAUUGACAUGAUGAAAUGCAAUAUGAAAUGUUAAAUGACCUAAAAAUGAAUGCGUGAAUGAGGAGGGCAAAUUUUGGGG